rnacentral:rRNA from 3 species
UGGGGAAUAUUGCACAAUGGGGGAAACCCUGAUGCAGCGACGCCGCGUGAGCGAAGAAGGCUUUCGAGUCGUAAAGCUCUGUCCUAUGAGAAGAUAAUGACGGUAUCAUAGGAGGAAGCCCUGGCUAAAUACGUGCCAGCAGCCGCGGUAAUACGUAUGGGGCGAGCGUUGUCCGGAAUUAUUGGGCGUAAAGGGUACGUAGGCGGUUUUUUAAGUCAGGUGUCAAAGCGUGGAGCUUAACUCCAUUAAGCACUUGAAACUGAAAGACUUGAGUGAAGGAGAGGAAAGUGGAAUUCCUAGUGUAGCGGUGAAAUGCGUAGAUAUUAGGAGGAAUACCGGUGGCGAAGGCGACUUUCUGGACUUUUACUGACGCUCAGGUACGAAAGCGUGGGGAGCAAACAGG